GGGGGGGGGGGGGGGGGCAGGAGCUCAUAUUCAUAUACUUGUGUUCUGCAUCAUUUACUUCUUUUGAAUUUGAUUGUUUUUACGGUCUGCGAACAUGAAUAUAUGAAUAUGAGCCCCCCAAAAUAUCGAUCUUCCUACGACCAUGGCCAUACUUAUCCGAGCAGGCUCCCGCAGGCUACAAGUAGUUUAUGUUUGGUAUUGUAUUCUAUUCUAUUCUACUUAGGGGCCGACCAUUUAACUUUUGAGGGGGAUGGGAGGGGUGAUUUUGAAAAAAACAUUUCCUGCAAGGCUAUUCUGAACAAAACAAGAAAGCCUGCACUAACAAACUGGGGGGAAAAAUAUCCUGCCCCAGUAUUUGGUGGGGGGAAAAUGUUGCAAAACAGCAUGGUUGCAGGGAUCGAUUUGACCAGUCCAAGAAGAUCAGCUGGUUUGAUUUUCGGAGACUAGUGUAAGGUAAUUUCUUGUUGGAAAACUCCUCAAAAUAGCUUAUCUGAGCUUCACGAAAUCCAAAAUUUUCUGGGGGGGCAUGCCCCCAGACUCCUCUAGAGGCUUGCACCUUCGGUGGUCGACUCAGUUGUCUCAGAAUCCUAGUUAAUAUUGGCCUGAUCUGCUGCCCUAUGGCGUAUACUUAUUAGUUAAACCAUGCAUAUAUAUGCUGCAUGGUAGCUGCAGUGAUACAGUCUUGCCGACUGGAACUUCUCCAGGUCCCCCGCUAAAUAUGUCCCCUCCAGUUACACAUCCGUAAAGAGGCCCUGAACCAAAUCUUAUACCUCAUAGAAAUAUGUAUUCUUAAAAGCAAUGCAUGAAAACUCAACGUUAACUAUUAUUAAUUAAAGAAUCUAAAUAGUAUAAGCUAUUGAAAAAAAAUGCUGCGAAAGAGAGAGUGGCAAAAAAAUAUCGUACAUGGUGAUGGGAUAGGGGGAAAAAAUCUUGCACAUAACGAUCCCAUAUCAAGAACACAAAUUCCCUUCCAGCAGUAAAUCUCCCACCUCCUCCCCCCUCAAAAGUUAAAUGGUCGGCCCCUUACUGGGGUUUCUUUCGCUUUAAGAGAUUUCACUCCAGUUAUAAAGUGAGGUCAUCGGCGAAGGUAAAGUAUUUCAAUUUCCGAAAAUCAAAAGUAAUUCAGGUGCAAAACG